UUUUUAUGAUGAUUAAAAAAAAAAUGUAAGUAGGGACAUGAGAAAAUUAAAUAUGUUCUUUUUUUUUUUUCUGAAAAAA